rnacentral:rRNA from 1 species
UUUAAUUGAAGAGUUUGAUCAUGGCUCAGAUUGAACGCUGGCGGCAGGCUUAACACAUGCAAGUCGAGCGGUAGCACAGGGGAGCUUGCUCCCCGGGUGACGAGCGGCGGACGGGUGAGUAAUGUCUGGGAAACUGCCUGAUGGAGGGGGAUAACUACUGGAAACGGUAGCGAAUACCGCCUCACAGUCGCAUGACCGCAGGGG